CCAGUCGACCGGGUGGCCGCACCUUCGGGUGAGGAAAGUCCGGGCUCCAUCGAAAUACGGUGACGGCUAACGGCCGCCGGGGGUGACCCCAGGGAAAGUGCCACAGAAAGCAAACCGCCUCCGGCUUGUCCGGCGGUAAGGGUGAAAGGGUGCGGUAAGAGCGCACCGCGGACCUGGCAACAGGGACGGCAUGGUAAACCCCACCGGGAGCAAGACCAAAUAGGGGUGACGCGGCAAGGGGCAACCUUUGCCGGCCGAUUUCGAGGCCAGUCACCCGGGUUGGUUGCACGAGGACGCCAGCAAUGGCGUCACCAGAUGAAUGGCCGCCACGUCCACGCCUUCGGGCGCGGGCCCUACAGAACCCGGCUUACAGGUCGACUGGCGUU
rnacentral:RNase_P_RNA from 1 species